AGAGUUUGAUCCUGGCUCAGAUUGAACGCUGGCGGCGUGCCUAACACAUGCAAGUCGAACGCCCUGCGCAAGCAGGGAGUGGCGGACGGGUGAGGAACACGUGGGUCAUCUACCUUGGGGUGAGGAAUACCGGCGAGAAAUCGCCGACAAUACCGCAUACGCUUGGAGACAAGCAAAGUCGUAAGACGCCUUGAGAUGAG
rnacentral:rRNA from 1 species